rnacentral:tRNA from 1 species
GAGCCGGUGGCCAGGCUGGAAGGCAAGCGCGUGGUGAGCGCCUCGGGCGCGGCGCGUGUAGCCGACGUGGUGAUCUUCGCGACCGGCUUC